UCAGGCUGAGACAAACCACGUGGAAGGGUGGAGCGGCUGCUCAGAGGGAAACCAGCUGGGAGUGGCGCAGGACGGUGACGUGUCACAGAGCAGCAGCCCAGACCGGCAGUAUCAGAAGGUGUUCUUCAGUGGUCGAUGUCUUGUAGAGUUUGGUGAAUCUACAACCAGGUAAAGGAUUUCAAGAUUGGAAUGUUGAAUGGACCGCUCACUGACAACCGAUGGGAAGAUUAGUGAUCAAAGGUGGGAGCUAUUUGGAAAGGGGAUGUGCUCUGCUAGGGAGGGCUGAUGGGGAAAUGAAGAGGGAACUCCAGGCCCUCAAAGAGACAUGAUUUAAGCUAAAAGCUCAAGAAGCUGCUGUGGGGGAAGGAGAACAAUGGCUUCCAUCUCCUCAUGGAGGCUGCAUCCUGCAUCCAUCCGGGAAAGUGCAGGCAGUCUCUUCAGAAAUGUGGAGUAGCCAAGAGGUGCUCUUGAGUAGCCAAGUGGUGCCAGUUGCAGGAGGCUUCUCACAUUUUAGCUCAGCUCUGUCUGAGGAGAGAGAACAUUUGUCAGUGAAACAAACUGUGUGAGGAAGUCAUGGCCUUUGUGAAGAGACUGAGUAUUCAAAACGUGAUUCCUCUGGUUCGGUCAUCAUCGCUUGCCAGAAGUUUGUUUCGUGGACAUAUUUUCCUAGCCUCAACGAAUUCAGGCCUUUCUGUCGAGUUUCAAUCGAGAAGUGAGGAUUAUGGAGAUUUUUUGGCUUUUCAAUUCAUAGACUACACACAAGGCCGAUGAAGAUAUUAAUUCCACUCACAUGCUUUUAUCACUCCCUUCUCUUAGCCUCCUCCCUCAGAGUCUACCAAUUCGUUCCAGAAACAAGAGUAUAGAUGUUGUCAGAUUCUAUACUUGAAUUUGAACUGACCCACAGUUAAGCUUGAAGGAACAUGAAAGUCUCUUGUUGGUGGAUAGUGCUGGAGAAGUCUAAACAGAGAUGUCUGUGGCCAGGAAGAACGCCUUGUGGGGACACUUUGGAAGACCAGCAUACGUUCAGACAAAAUGAGGAGCGCUUCACUGGAGAGAGCCACUGACUGAGCCUCUAACUUUGAGUUCUAAUUCUGUCCUCCUAUUUAAGAUGAAAUGAGGCUCUGAAUAAGAAUCCUCUUCUGGAAUCUCAAAAUAUUAAAGCAGAUAAGAACCUGAAUCCUGUCUAAAGCAGCCCUUUCAUUUUCCGGGUCAGAAACACGGAAGAUCGCAGCGGUACAGUGACUUGCCUGCAGUCACAGAGCUGCAUUAGGACAGAGACGGAAGCAGCCUGAGAUUCUCCCGACACCCACGUCGUUUCUGUCUGGUGACAAAGAUUCUUUCCUUGACCAAACUUUACUCAGGCUCCUCUGACCUCUGUUCUCAAGUAGUUCUUGACUUUUGGGCUUCUGUGUUUGUUUCUGCAUGUCCAGUUUUAGUGAGAAAUCCUGCUAAGUUGGUUUACACAGACUCCCCCACUCUCGAUAUCUGACUGCCCUUGAUACCUGGUCAGAUCACCUGCAGGUGCCGGCUGGUCAACCUGGCCUACCUGUCUUCAGCAAGACUCUCGUCAGGUUGGUUUUGCUAGUAUCCUUCAUGACCCCUCUUAGGGAGGUUUUUUCUUAGUAAUUUUUUUUUUUUUUUCUUUUAAAGUAGGCUCUAUGCCCAGGGUAGAACUCAACACAGGACUUGAACUCACGGCCCUGAGAUCAAGACCUAAGUUGAGAUCAGGAGUUGGACACUUGAGCGACUGACCCACCCUGGCGUCCACCUUCUUAGUAAUUUUCUACCCACUGACCCCUUCCCUGGUUCUUGGCUUUAAAUUCCCACUUCUUGCUUUUUGAGUUGAGUACGUUGUGCUGGUCCUUACACUUAUGAUGGUUCUGAAUAAAGUCUGCCCUUCCAUUCUU